CUGAGGCCAGGAGCGGCUCUGAGCAGCUAGCUGAAGGUCACAUGGCUAGUGAAUUCCCGAACCAGGAUUCAACCUCAGUAGUCCUGUUUCCACAUAUGGAGCGCCUUUUAAUAUGGACACCCUUCACCUGGCCAAAUCCUUCAAGCCCCACUUCCAUGAAGCUUUCUCUGAAUGCUUUUGCCUCUGAACUCUUGACCCCAUAGAUGAAGAAAUUGAAGCACAUAAAGGUUCAGUGACUUGCUCAAAGUUGCCCAGUUAGUGACUUUUUUUUUGACCACCCCCCAUGCCAUGUGGUAUCUUA